rnacentral:rRNA from 2 species
GUGAGUAACACGUGGGCAAUCUGCCCUUCACUCUGGGACAAGCCCUGGAAACGGGGUCUAAUACCGGAUGAUACUUCUGCUCGCAUGGGUGGGGGUUGAAAGCUCCGGCGGUGAAGGAUGAGCCCGCGGCCUAUCAGCUUGUUGGUGAGGUAGUGGCUCACCAAGGCGACGACGGGUAGCCGGCCUGAGAGGGCGACCGGCCACACUGGGACUGAGACACGGCCCAGACUCCUACGGGAGGCAGCAGUGGGGAAUAUUGCACAAUGGGCGAAAGCCUGAUGCAGCGACGCCGCGUGAGGGAUGACGGCCUUCGGGUUGUAAACCUCUUUCAGCAGGGAAGAAGCGAAAGUGACGGUACCUGCAGAAGAAGCGCCGGCUAACUACGUGCCAGCAGCCGCGGUAAUACGUAGGGCGCAAGCGUUGUCCGGAAUUAUUGGGCGUAAAGAGCUCGUAGGCGGUCUGUCGCGUCGGAUGUGAAAGCCCGGGGCUUAACCCCGGGUCUGCAUUCGAUACGGGCAGACUAGAGUGUGGUAGGGGAGAUCGGAAUUCCUGGUGUAGCGGUGAAAUGCGCAGAUAUCAGGAGGAACACCGGUGGCGAAGGCGGAUCUCUGGGCCAUUACUGACGCUGAGGAGCGAAAGCGUGGGGAGCGAACAGGAUUAGAUACCCUGGUAGUCCACGCCGUAAACGGUG